CAAUAGCGUAUAUUAAAGUUGUUGCGGUUAAAAAGCUCGUAGUUGGAUUUCUUCUCUUAUCAGCCGGUCCUCACUUCGUGAGAGUAUCUGGUCAGAUUUGAGAAUCCUCUUGAGGAACGUCGCUGCGCUUGAUUGCGUGGCACGGUAUUCAAGACUUUUACUUUGAGGAAAUUAGGAGUGUUCACGGCAGGCAUUCGCCUUGUACACAUUAGCAUGGAAUAAUAAUAUAGGAUCACGACCCUACUUUUGUUUGGUUUCUUAGAGUUGUGAUAAUGAUUAAUUAGGGACGAAUUAGGGGGUCGGAUUUGUUAUUAACUAACGUCAGAGGU
rnacentral:rRNA from 1 species